AGAGUUUGAUCCUGGCUCAGGGUGAACGCUGGCGGCGUGUCUUAGUCAUGCAAGUCCAGGGAUUGCUUGCAAUCCCGGCAUCCGGGUGAGUAACACGUUGGUAAUCUAACCUCGUCUCGAGAAUAACCGUGCUAACGCGCGGACAAUACUCGAUGGGAGUGAGGGGACGAAUGUCAUUCUCACUUAAAGUUUUAGCGGACGAGGAAGAGCCUACGUCUGAUUAGCUUGUUGGUAAGGUAACGGCUUACCAAGGCAAUGAUCAGUAGGGGACCCGAGAGGGUGACCCUCCACAUUGGCACUGAAACACGGGCCAGACUCCUACGGGAGGCUGCAGAUAAGAAUCUUGCGCAAUGGUCUAACGACUGACGCAGCGACGCCGCGUGACUGAUGAAGCCCUUCGGGGUGUAAAGGUCUUUUGUUGGGGAAAAAGUUCUGAUGGUACCCAACGAAUAAGAGGUUGCUAACUCUGUGCCAGCAGCAGCGGUAAUACAGAGACCUCAAGCGUUACCCGGAAUUAUUGGGCGUAAAGCGUCCGUAGGCGGUCAGUCAAGUCAGGUAUUAAAUCCUGGAGCCCAACUUCAGGGCCGUAUCUGAAACUAACUGACUAGAGGGAAGGAGAGGCACAUGGAAUUCCCGGUGUAGGGGUUACAUCCGUUAAUAUCGGGGAGAACACCAUUAGCGAAGGCGAUGUGCUGGACUUCUCCUGACGCUCAGGGACGAAAGCGUGGGUAGCGAAUGGAAUUAGAUACUCCAGUAGUCCACGCCCUAAACGCUGGAUGCUAGACAUAAGAAGUUCGACCCUUCUUGUGCCUGAAGUUAACACGUUAAGCAUCCCGCCUGGGAAGUACGGCCGCAAGGCUAAAACUCAAAGGAAUUGACGGGGACCCGCACAAGCGGUGGAGCAUAUGGUUUAAUUCGUAGCUAAGCGUAGAACCUUACCAGGGCUUGACAUCCCGGGAACGCUCUAGAAAUAGAGCCGUGCCUUCGGGAACCCGGUGACAGGUGCUGCAUGGCUGUCGUCAGCUCGUGUCGUGAGAUGUUGGGUUAAGUCCUCUAACGAGCGCAACCCCUGUGAUAUGUUGAUUUUCUCAUAUCAGACUGCCUCGGUAUAACGGGGAGGAAGGCGGGGAUGACGUCAAGUCAGCAUGGCCCUUACGUCCUGGGCGACACGUAUGCUACAAUGGGGAGUACAAAGAGACGCCAAGUCGUAAGACGGAGCUAAUCUCACCAAAACUUCUCUCAGUUCGGAUUGGAGGCUGCAACUCGCCUCCAUGAAGCUGGAAUCGCUAGUAACCGUGGGUCAGCCACACUACGGUGAAUACGUUCUCGGGUCUUGUACACACCGCCCGUCAGUUCAGAAGAGCUGGUAGUACCCGAAACUCUUACUUCGGUAAGAACUAAGGUAAGAUCAGUAAUUAGGAAUAAGUCGUAACAAGG
rnacentral:rRNA from 1 species